AAAAUCUUAUAAUUAUGAAUGCAUAAAUGGCAGGCUGAUAACAAGGUGAUGAAGAGAGACUAAAUAAAGGAGGAGCUCGAGGUGGUAAGACUUUGGUGCCAAUCACAGUGGGCCACCACAGCAACACUAGAAAGCAUAAUCAUUUCAUUAUUUAGUGCUAUUUCAGUGUUCUUUUCUUGUCAGUUGCAAUGUCUAAAAGCCUGGACUAGCUUCACUAUGUCCUUUGUGAACAAGCCUGCUAAAAAGGAACAACAGUUUACAAAGUGAACCUAGUCAGUUUCUUGCUGAGAGUUGAUGAUCAUGAGUCUCAGUCUACUCUUGUGGUUGAUAUAGCUACAGUUUUUACAGCUACAGUUGAUGUACAGUCAAUUGUUGCUCAUUCUCCAUCACCCUAUUCUUCUACUUCCUCUACUAAUACUACUACUAGUACUAUUACCACUACAGAAGUCAGUGUUGGAGCUACACCACCCACUACUUUAUUACAAUAACCUUCGCUACCAAAAAAUUGUGCUAAAAAGGGUGCGUAAAAGAGGGUGUGGCCAAAAUCGCGGCGCGCUUCGCGCGCCCAACCCAUUUCCUGUGCCACACCCAUGCCCGACUAGUAGUCAAAUCCUGCAGCCGCCUAUGCUCUUAAGUUAGGUGAUUUAAAGGGUAACUACACCCAAAAUUUUUUUUCCCUGAAA